rnacentral:rRNA from 1 species
GAGUUUGAUCCUGGCUCAGGAUGAACGCUAGCGGCAGGCCUAACACAUGCAAGUCGAACGGUAACAGAAAAAAGCUUGCUUUUUUGCUGACGAGUGGCGCACGGGUGCGUAACGCGUAUACAAUCUACCUUUUACUGGGGAAUAGCCUUUGGAAACGAAGAAUAAUACCCCAUAGUAUCUAAAUUUCGCAUGUUAUUUAGAUUAAAGUUUCGGCGGUAAGAGAUGAGUAUGCGUUCUAUUAGCUAGAUGGUGUGGUAACGGCACACCAUGGCAACGAUAGAUAGGGGCCCUGAGAGGGGGAUCCCCCACACUGGUACUGAGACACGGACCAGACUCCUACGGGAGGCAGCAGUGAGGAUAUUGGACAAUGGGCGAAAGCCUGAUCCAGCCAUGCCGCGUGCAGGAAGACUGCCCUAUGGGUUGUAAACUGCUUUUAUACGGGAAGAAACCCAUCUACGUGUAGGUGGCUGACGGUACCGUAAGAAUAAGCAUCGGCUAACUCCGUGCCAGCAGCCGCGGUAAUACGGAGGAUGCAAGCGUUAUCCGGAAUCAUUGGGUUUAAAGGGUCCGUAGGUGGAUUGGUAAGUCAGAGGUGAAAGCCUGCAGCUCAACUGUAGAACUGCCUUUGAUACUGCUAGUCUUGAAUUAUUGUGAAGUGGUUAGAAUAUGUAGUGUAGCGGUGAAAUGCAUAGAUAUUACAUAGAAUACCAAUUGCGAAGGCAGAUCACUAACAAUAUAUUGACACUGAUGGACGAAAGCGUGGGGAGCGAACGGGAUUAGAUACCCCGGUAGUCCACGCCGUAAACGAUGGUCACUAGCUGUUCGGAUUUCGGUCUGAGUGGCUAAGCGAAAGUGAUAA